rnacentral:rRNA from 1 species
AUGAAAAAUCAUCUACUCGAAAAGUUACAUCCAGAGGAGGACAUCAAGAGGAAUAGGCUUCAUCUUAGAGUAACAAUCGAUGCACUACGGUGGUUAGCAUUCCAAGCUUGCCCAUUCUGUGGACAUGAUGAAAGUCUUGAUUCAAGGAACCAAGGUAAUUUUCUUGAAAUGGUCAAAUUGGUAGCUUCUGAUGAUGAGGAAAUUGGUGCGAUUGUAUUGGGUAAUGCGCCAGGGAAUGCUAAGUAUACCUCACCUAUAAUUCAAAAAGAACUUCUGCAUAUGAUUGCUAUUAAUGUGCAAAAAGAAAUUCGUAAAGAAACUGGGGAUGCUAAGUUCUGCUUGCUUGUAGAUGAGUCAAGAGAUGAAUCCAAAAGAGAGCAAAUGGCAGUGGUUAUUCGUUUUGUGGACAAACCUGGUUUCACUUGUGAACGUUUUCUUGAUAUUGUUCAUGUCAUUGAGACAUUCACUAAUUUGCUCAUCAAUUGCAGCUUGCUCUUGUUGCCGCAUCUAAAGAAGUAG